AGUUCGUCCGCGGCACUCGGAAUGGCCCCAGACUUGGCGGUAGGCCUCCGUGUGCCAAAAAUAGGCCACGGGCACAGCCGCGCCCAAAAAACAGCCCCCGAAGCUCGGGGUCCCAAGACCCCCCAGCGGAAAAAUGGCCAAAAAACGGGUGGGCUAUAGCCUUGGUGGGGGGCGUGGGCGAAGUUCGUCCAAGGGACUCGGAAUGGCACCAGACUUGGCGGGCGGCCUGCGUGUGCGAAAAAUAGGCCACGGGGACAGCCCCGCCCAAAAAACAGCCCCCGAAGGUCGGGGUCCCAAGACCCCCCAGCGGAAAAAUGGCCAAAAAACGGGUGGGCUAUAGCCUUGGUGGGGGGCGUGGGCGAAGUUCGUCCGCGGGACUCGGAAUGGCACCAGACUUGGCGGGCGGCCUCCGUGUGCCAAAAAUAGGCCACGGGCACAGCCGCGCCCAAAAACCAGCCCCCGAAGUUCGGGGUCCCAAGACCCCCCAGCGGAAAAAUGGCCAAAAAACGGGUGGGCUAUAGCCUUGGUGGGGGGCGUGGGCGAAGUUCGUCCGUGGUACUCGGAAUGGCACCAGACUUGGCGGGCGGCCUCCGUGUGCCAAAAAUAGGCCACGGGCACAGCCGCGCCCAAAAAACAGCCCCCGAAGGUCGGGGUCCCAAGACCCCCCAACGGAAAAAUGGCCAAAAAACGGGUGGGCUAUUGCCGUGGUGGGGGGCGUGGGCGAAGUUUGUCCGCGGGACUCGGAAUGGCACCAGACUUGGCGGGCGGCCUUCGUGUGCCAAAAAUAGGCCACGGCAACAGCCGCGCCCAAAAAACAGCCCCCGAAGAUCGGGGUCCCAAGAACCCCCAGCGGAAAAAUGGCCAAAAAACGGGUGGGCUAUAGCCUUGGUGGGGGGCGUGGGCGAAGUUCGUCCGCGGGACUCCGAAUGGCCCCAGACUUGGCGGUAGGCCUCCGUGUGCCAAAAAUAGGCCACGGGCACAGCCGCGCCCAAAAAACAGCCCCCGAAGCUCGGGGUCCCAAGACCCCCCAGCGGAAAAAUGGCCAAAAAACGGGUGGGCUAUAGCCUUGGUGGGGGGCGUGGGCGAAGUUCGUCCAAGGGACUCGGAAUGGCACCAGACUUGGCGGGCGGCCUGCGUGUGCGAAAAAUAGGCCACGGGGACAGCCUUGCCCAAAAAACAGCCCCCGAAGGUCGGGGUCCCAAAACCCCCCAGCGGAAAAAUGGCCAAAAAACGGGUGGGCUAUAGCCUUGGUGGGGGGCGUGGGCGAAGUUCGUCCGCGGGACUCGGAAUGGCACCAGACUUGGCGGGCGGCCUCCGUGUGCCAAAAAUAGGCCACGGGCACAGCCGCGCCCAAAACCCAGCCCCCGAAUGCCGGAGUCCCAAGACCCCCCAGCGGAAAAAUGGCCAAAAAACGGGUGGGCUUUAGCCUUGGUGGGGGGCGUGGGCGAAGUUCUUCCGCGGGACUCGGAAUGGCACCAGACUUGGCGGGCGGCCUCCGUGUGCCAAAAAUAGGCCACGGGGACAGCCGCGCCCAAGAACCAGCCCCCGAAGGUCGGGGUCCCAAGACCCCCCAGCGGAAAAAUGGCCAAAAAACGGGUGGGCUAUAGCCUUGGUGGGGGGCGUGGGCGAAGUUCGUCCGCGGGACUCGGAAUGGCACCAGACUUGGCGGGCGGCUUCCGUGUGCCAAAAAUAGGCCACGGGCACAGCCGCGCCCAAAAAACAGCCCCCGAAGCUCGGGGUCCCAAGACCCCCCAGCGGAAAAAUGGCCAAAAAACGGGUGGGCUAUAGCCUUGGUGGGGGGCGUGGGCGAAGUACGUCCGCGGGACUCGGAAUGGCACCAGACUUGGCGGGCGGCCUCCGUGUGCCAAAAAUAGGCCACGGGCACACCCGCGCCCAAAAACCAGCCCCCGAAGGUCGGGGUCCCAAGACCCCCCAGCGGAAAUAUGGCCAAAAAACGGGUGGGCUAUAGCCUUGGUGGGGGGCGUGGGCGAAGUUCGUCCGCGGGUAUCGGAAUGGCACCAGACUUGGCGGGCGGCCUCCGUGUGCCAAAAAUAGGCCACGGGCAAAGCCGCGCCCAAAAAACAGCCCCCGAAGGUCGGGGUACCAAGACCCCCCAGCGGAAAAAUGGCCAAAAAACGGGUGGGCUAUAGCCUUGGUGGGGGGCGUGGGCGAAGUUCGUCCGCGGGACUCGGAAUAGUACCAGACUUGAUGGGCGGCCUCCGUGUGCCAAAAAUAGGCCACGGGCACAGCCGCGCCCAAAAACCAGCCCCCGAAGGUCGGGGUCCCAAGACCCCCCAGCGGAAAAAUGGCCAAAAAACGGGUGGGCUUUAGCCUUGCUGGGGGGCGUGGGCGAAGUUCGUCCGCGGGACUCCGAAUGGCCCCAGACUUGGCGGUAGGCCUCCGUGUGCCAAAAAUAGGCCACGGGCACAGCCGCGCCCAAAAAACAGCCCCCGAAGCUCGGGGUCCCAAGACCCCCCAGCUGAAAAAUGGCCAAAAAACGGGUGGGCUAUAGCCUUGGUGGGGGGCGUGGGCGAAGUUCGUCCAAGGGACUCGGAAUGGCACCAGACUUGGCGUGCGGCCUGCGUGUGCGAAAAAUAGGCCACGGGGACAGCCCCGCCCAAAAAACAGCCCCCGAAGGUCGGGGUCCCAAGACCCCCCAGCGGAAAAAUGGCCAAAAAAUGGGUGGGCUAUAGCCUUGGUGGGGGGCGUGGGCGAAGUUCGUCCGCGGGACUCGGAAUGGCACCAGACUUGGCGGGCGGCCUCCGUGUGCCAAAAAUAGGCCACGGGCACAGCCGCGCCCAAAACCCAGCCCCCGAAUGUCGAAGUCCCAAGACCCCCCAGCGGAAAAAUGGCCAAAAAACGGGUGGGCUUUAGCCUUGGUGGGGGGCGUGGGCGAAGUUCUUCCGCGGGACUCGGAAUGGCACCAGACUUGGCGGGCGGCCUCCGUGUGCCAAAAAUAGGCCACGGGGACAGCCGCGCCCAAGAACCAGCCCCCGAAGGUCGGGGUCCCAAGACCCCCCAGCGGAAAAAUGGCCAAAAAACGGGUGGGCUAUAGCCUUGGUGGGGGGCGUGGGCGAAGUUCGUCCGCGGGACUCGGAAUGGCACCAGACUUGGCGGGCGGCCUCCGUGUGCCAAAAAUAGGCCACGGGCACAGCCGCGCCCAAAAAACAGCCCCCGAAGGUCGGGGUCCCAAGACCCCCCAGCGGAAAAAUGGCCAAAAAACGGGUGGGCUAUAGCCUUGGUGGGGGGCGUGGGCGAAGUUCGUCCGCGGGACUCGGAAUGGCACCAGACUUGGCGGGCGGCCUCCGUGUGCCAAAAAUAGGCCACGGGCACAGCCGCGCCCAAAAAACAGCCCCCGAAGGUCGGGGUCCCAAGACCCCCCAGCGGAAAAAUGGCCAAAAAACGGGUGGGCUAUAGCCUUGGUGGGGGGCGUGGGCGAAGUUCGUCCGCGGGACUCGGAAUGGCACCAGACUUGGCGGGCGGCCUCCGUGUGCCAAAAAUAGGCCACGGGCACAGCCGCGCCCAAAAACCAGCCCCCGAAGGUCGGGGUCCCAAGACCCCCCAGCGGAAAAAUGGCCAAAAAACGGGUGGGCUAUAGCCUUGGUGGGGGGCGUGGGCGAAGUUCGUCCGCGGGACUCGGAAUGGCACCAGACUUGGCGGGCGGCCUCCGUGUGCCAAAAAUAGGCCACGGGCACAGCCGCGCCCGAAAAACAGCCCCCGAAGGUCGGGGUCCCAAGACCCCCCAGCGGAAAAAUGGCCAAAAAACGGGUGGGCUAUAGCCUUGGUGGGGGGCGUGGGCGAAGUUCGUCCGCGGGACUCGGAAUGGCACCAGACUUGGCGGGCGGCCUCCGUGUGCCAAAAAUAGGCCACGGGCACAGCCGCGCCCAAAAAACAGCCCCCGAAGGUCGGGGUCCCAAGACCCCCCAGCGGAAAAAUGGCCAAAAAACGGGUGGGCUAUAGCCUUGGUGGGGGGCGUGGGCGAAGUUCGUCCGCGGGACUCGGAAUGGCACCAGACUUGGCGGGCGGCCUCCGUGUGCCAAAAAUAGGCCAGGGGCACAGCCGCGCCCAAAAAACAGCCCCUGAAGGUCGGGGUCCCAAGACCCCCCAGCGGAAAAAUGGCCAAAAAACGGGUGGGCUAUAGCCUUGGUGGGGGGCGUGGGCGAAAUUCAUCCGCGGGACUCGGAAUGGCACCAGACUUGGCGGGCGGCCUCCGUGUGCCAAAAAUAGGCCACGGGCACAGCCGCGCCCAAAAACGAGCCCCCGAAGGUCGGGGUCCCAAGACCCCCCAGCGGAAAAAUAGCCAAAAAACGGGUUGGCUAUAGCCUUGGUGGGGGGCGUGGGCGAAGUUCGUCCGCGGGACUCGGAAUGGCACCAGACUUGGCGGGCGGCCUCCGUGUGCCAAAAAUAGGCCACGGGCACAGCCGCGCCCAAAAAACAGCCCCCGAAGUUCGGGGUCCCAAGACCCCCCAGCGGAAAAAUGGCCAAAAAACGGUGGGCUAUAGCCUUGGUGGGGGGCGUGGGCGAAGUUCGUCCGUGGGACUCGGAAUGGCACCAGACUUGGUGGGCGGCCUAGCUGUGCCAAAAAUAGGCCACGGGCACAGCGGCGCCCAAAAAACAGCCCCCGAAGUUCGGGGUCCCAAGACCCCCCAGCGGAAAAAUGCGAAAAAACGGUGGGCUAUAGCCUUGGUGGGGGGCGUGGGCGAAGUUCGUCCGUGGGACUCGGAAUGGCACCAGACUUGGCGGGCGGCCUCCGUGUGCCAAAAAUAGGCCACGGGCACAGCCGCGCCCAAAAAACAGCCCCCGAAGUUCGGGGUCCCAAGACCCCCCAGCGGAAAAAUGGCCAAAAAACAGGUGGGCUAUAGCCUUGGUGGGGGGCGUGGGCGAAGUUCGUCCGUGGGACUCGGAAUGGCACCAGACUUGGCGGGCGGCCUCCGUGUGCCAAAAAUAUUGCCACGGGCACAGCCGCGCCCAAAAAACAGCCCCCGAAGUUCUGGGUCCCAAGACCCCCCAGCGGAAAAAUGGCCAAAAAACGGUGGGCUAUAACCUUGGUGGGGGGCGUGGGCUAAGUUCGUCCGCGGGACUCGGAAUGGCACCAGACUUGGCGGGCGGCCUCCGUGUGCCAAAAAUAGGCCACGGGCACAGCCGCGCCCAA
rnacentral:lncRNA from 1 species